rnacentral:rRNA from 1 species
GGGUCCGCACAAGCGGUGGAGCAUGUGGUUUAAUUCGAUGAUACGCGAGGAACCUUACCUGGGCUCGAACACUAUUAGACGAUACCUGAAAGGGUAUUUCUCUUCGGAGCUGGUAGUGAGGUGCUGCAUGGUUGUCGUCAGCUCGUGCCGUGAGUGUUGGGUUAAGUCCCGCAACGAGCGCAACCCCCUAUCUUCAGUUGCCAACAGUUAGGCUGGGGACUCUGGAGAGACUGCCUCCGUAAGGAGUGAGGAAGGAAGGGACGACGUCAAAUCAUCAUGGCCUUUAUGCCCAGGGCUACACACGUGCUACAAUGGUAGGUACAGAGGGGAGCGAAGUUGCGAAGCGGAGCGAA